GACGAACGCUGGCGGCGUGCUUAACACAUGCCAGUCGAACGGAAAGGCCCUGCUUUUGUGGGGUGCUCGAGUGGCGAACGGGUGAGUAACACGUGAGUAACCUGCCCUUGACUUUGGGAUAACUUCAGGAAACUGGGGCUAAUACCGGAUAGGAGCUCCUGCUGCAUGGUGGGGGUUGGAAAGUUUCGGCGGUUGGGGAUGGACUCGCGGCUUAUCAGCUUGUUGGUGGGGUAGUGGCUUACCAAGGCUUUGACGGGUAGCCGGCCUGAGAGGGUGACCGGCAAAAUUGGGACGGGGAUACGGCCCAGACCCCUACGGGAGGAAGCAGGGGGGAAUAGUGCACAAGGGGGGGAAGCCUGAGGCAGAAACGCCGGGUGGGGGAGGACGGCCUUCGGGUUGUAAACCGCUUUCGCCUGUGACGAAGGGUGAGUGACGGGAAUGGGGAAAGAAGCACCGGCUAACUACGU
rnacentral:rRNA from 1 species